AUAUCUAACAAGGGUAUUAUUUAGUAAUCCUGUCACUUAAAUUCCAUAAAAUGGUUUACCUGAAAACUAUGGCUGAACUUGGAUCGUAUGAGUAUUCUGUUGCUAGUAAUAGACCAUCAAAAUGGAAGUCUAGAACUUAAAAGGGUAUUUAAAGGAACUGUAUCAAACUAUCGAUGUUACCGAGCUUAAAGGGUUGCUUGGUACACUUAGCAAAGUACAAGUGGG
rnacentral:lncRNA from 1 species